GCUUACGGCCUUAUCACGUUGAAAGCACCGGUUCUCGUCCGAUCACCGAAGUUAAGCAACGUAGACCCUAGUUAGUACUUAGAUGGGUGACCGCUUGGGAAACCUAGGUGCUGUAAGUU
rnacentral:rRNA from 1 species